GAUGGGAAUUUCUUAAUUAUUAUCAUUUUAAAAAAUACAGAACCAGGUUUGGAUCCUUGAAAACGAAUUGGUCCUCAGCCUUUCAAACACUGGCCAAAAAAAUUUGCAAAAGAAAAACACAGGCAUCAGGUAGCAGGCACAGUAUUAAAAAUUCAGACAGUUUUACUGUUGGAUCUUAAAAAUAUAUUAGAAGGGUGUGACUUUCAUAAAGGACGAGAGAGAAUCAACUUCAUUCUAUUUCGAUGGGUAUUUUCUAGAUAUGCCAGAUAAUUUUGUCUUAUUAUCUCAAAGAUUACUUGUUUCAGCCAUACACCAUGGAGAAAAAAAUGGCAAGGGGUUUGAAUGAUCGUUUCCAGAGCAGUUUUUGGUAGCUGCAGUAGUACUUCCAUUUUACAAAUUCUCUGUGUUAGUCAUUCACUCAUAUAUUCAUUCACCAAACAUUUAUUAAGGCUCUUCUAUGUGCUGUGUACAGUGCUAGACUUGGGAGAAGAGGGAUAAGUGGUGAGAGGGACAUACAAAAUUGAAUUAGAAAAAUUCACAGUUUAGGGAACUGGAAAUGCUAGGAAGCAGUUGUAAACCACUAUGAUACAUUCUUGUCGUGAGACGCCACCAGGACAGCCCCUGCUACUGGCCGGGAGAGGUACACUGACCACAACUGAGCGUCAGUGUUCAUCUGCGUGGUGGCCUUUGCUCUUUCAAGGCAGCCAUUAUUGGUUCCAUUUUCAACAGGAGGAGGCCAACACUAAAAGUGCAGUGAUGAGCCUCAUGUCUCACAGCCAGUCAGGCUCCUAAUCCAAAAGCCACUGCUAUGACUUGCACCUCCGGACGUUCUGCCAUUUGAUCCCUACAGCCUCACUACCUGAAGGACUAUAUUUUGAUCAUUCUUAAUGGGCCAGCUUCAAACACUGUCAAGUUUUGAGGAGGGCAGAUGAAGCUGAUGACAGCUCCAAUUCCAGCUAGGGGUGACCUGUCUGUCUGCCUUUUUUGAGCUGUGGAGUGAUCGGAGUCAUAUUUGCUGCCUGUGCAGCACCACAGGCCUGAUGAAAACGAAAUGGCAACACCAUGCAGAUGGCGAAGCGUAGGUCUCACAAGUGUCCUGGCCACGAAGAUAUCUCUCCACUCUCCUCCGCAUCCAGUACAUCACCGCCAUGGGCUGAAUGUUUGUGUCCCCCCAAAUUUCUAUGUUGAAAUCUAAGCCCCAGGAUGAUGGUAUCAGAGAUGAGGGCUUCGGCAGAUGGUUAGGCCGUGAAGACAGAGGCCUAAUGAACGGGGUUGGUACCUUUAGAAAAGCGGCCCCAGAGAGCUGUCUUGUCCCUUCUACCAUGUGAGAACACAGGGAGACAGCACCAUCUGUGAACCAGAAGGUGGCGCUCACCAGACAUUGAAUCUGCUGAUGCAGUGAUCUCGGAUGUGAACCAGAAAAUCUGAGACAGGUCUUAGUUAAUUUAGAAAGUUUAUUUUGCCAAGGUUG